rnacentral:rRNA from 1 species
GACGAGCGCUGGCGGCGUGCUUAACACAUGCAAGUCGAACGAUGAUGCCCAGCUUGCUGGGUGGAUUAGUGGCGAACGGGUGAGUAACACGUGAGUAACCUGCCCCUGACUCUGGGAUAAGCGUUGGAAACGACGUCUAAUACUGGAUAUGACUGCCGGCCGCAUGGUCUGGUGGUGGAAAGAUUUUUUGGUUGGGGAUGGACUCGCGGCCUAUCAGCUUGUUGGUGAGGUAAUGGCUCACCAAGGCGACGACGGGUAGCCGGCCUGAGAGGGGGAACGGCCUCACUGGGACUGAGACACGGCCCAGACUCCUACGGGAGGCAGCAGUGGGGAAUAUUGCACAAUGGGCGAAAGCCUGAUGCAGCAACGCCGCGUGAGGGAUGACGGCCUUCGGGUUGUAAACCUCUUUUAGUAGGGAAGAAGCGAAAGUGACGGUACCUGCAGAAAAAGCACCGGCUAACUACGUGCCAGCCGCCGCCGUAA